GCCGGGGUAACCCAGACUGGUUAGGGUGCCAGGCUCAUAACCUGGAUGUCGAGGGUUCGAGUCCCUCCCCCGGCA
rnacentral:tRNA from 1 species